rnacentral:rRNA from 1 species
UUAAUCUAAACACCAAACUAUUAUAACCUAUUUAUAAAACCAUUUAUAUACACAACAAGUGAACCACUCCAUAUAUUUCAAUACCCGCAAGGAUACCAAACCAUUUAUUAAUAGUAUAGAUCAACCCCAGUACCUUUUGCAUCAUGGCUUAGCAAACACCAUAGUUAAUUCUUUACCCCCGAAACCAACACGAGCUAAUUUAUAUUUGUUAAGCACCCAAAUUUUAUUGUCGCACUAAUAUUUUAAAAAUAUAAAUUAGAAGCUACAUACCUACCGCGUUUGUUUAUAGCUGGUUAUUCUCUAAUCUAUCAAAGUAGAAGUAUUUAAACUUUUAAAUACCCCAAUUUUAUUAGGACAAGCUAAUAAAACACCACUUAUUUUAUUUUCAAAGACCACCACAUUUCAUAAGCCUUAAAUCAGCUACUUAUUAUAUACCACGUUCUAGCUUACUACUGCUAUAAUACCUAAAAAUAAUACUACAUAUAUAUUUACAUAAAGAGAAUCUUCUUGUUACCUCCCCCCUCCUUAAAGAUAAUGCUAAGAUUAGUAUUUUUAUAAAUUAUUACUUCAAACAAAUUUAAAUUUCUCCCAUCAAAUUAAUAUAAAAUAUAUAAAUAACAAACUUUGCAUACACAGAAUUCGACUGUUUACCAAAAACAUUGCCUUUAGACUAAAUAUUAAAGGUUCAUCCUGCCCAGUGAUCUAUUUUCAACGGCCGCGGUACCCUAACCGUGCAAAGGUAGCAUAAUCAUUUGCCUUUUAAUUGUAGGCUAGUAUGAACGGACAAACGAAAUUCUUACUGUAUCAUUUAUAUACAUAAAAAUUAGAAUUUAGGUGAAGAUACCUAAAUAACCUUGAAAGACAAGAAGACCCUAUAGAGUUUUAGUAAAAACUUUCCCCAAAAUAAAACCUACUUUGGUUGGGGCGACCUAGGAUUAAUAAAAACAUCCUUUUAAAAUAAGAAUAUAUUAUUCUCUCUAAAGACCCUGAAAUUCAGAUUCUUAAAACCAACUACCUUAGGGAUAACAGGCUUAUCUUCCUAAAGAGUUCAAAUUGACAGGAAGGUCUGGCACCUCGAUGUUGGCUUAGAGUAACCCACUAAUGCAAAAGUUAGUUAAGGUCGGUUUGUUCAACCGUUAAAUCUCUACAUGAGCUGAGUUCAGACCGGCGUAAGCCAGGUUAGAUUCUAUCUUCAAAUAAAACUGAAUAUAUUAGUACGAAAGGACCAUAUAAUUCUAAUUAAAUUAAUCAUAAAGAAUACAUAUAACUAAACUAUUAACAAAUAUAAAAUUUAUUAUAUAAAUA